AUUGAACGCUGGCGGCAUGCUUUACACAUGCAAGUCGAACGGCAGCGCGGGGCAACCUGGCGGCGAGUGGCGAACGGGUGAGUAAUAUAUCGGAACGUACCCAGAAGUGGGGGAUAACGUAGCGAAAGUUACGCUAAUACCGCAUACGAUCUACGGAUGAAAGUGGGGGACCUUCGGGCCUCAUGCUUUUGGAGCGGCCGAUAUCUGAUUAGCUAGUUGGUGAGGUAAAGGCUCACCAAGGCGACGAUCAGUAGCUGGUCUGAGAGGACGACCAGCCACACUGGGACUGAGACACGGCCCAGACUCCUACGGGAGGCAGCAGUGGGGAAUUUUGGACAAUGGGGGGCAACCCUGAUCCAGCAAUGCCGCGUGAGUGAAGAAGGCC
rnacentral:rRNA from 1 species